CCUAAGACAGUUGGCUUAUAUGCCUCCUUCUGGCAACUGCAGCAGCCAAGCUGUCUCCAAACGUCUUGCUCUACUUUCCUUUGGAUCCCAUCCGUGAGGUCAAGAGGGGGGUCUUCUCUGGGCAGCCCAGGACCUCCAUUCAUGCUGCCCAGGCUUGCAUCCUGGAAAGGUCACUUCGGUGCUGCUAACACAGCAGUUUGACUUCACCCCUGGAGGCCCACUCCGCUGUCUGUCAAGAGAAACAGAUGCCAACAAGAAAACGUGUGUAUUUCUCCCUCUUUCCCGAAGCCGUUGGGAGUGUUCCAGAGAAGCCAUCGCACAGCAGGGAUGUUGUUAGUGGGCAGCCUAGUGGACCUCGGCCAUUAAUGCCAGGCUCCAGAUCUCCUGCCUUUCCCCCCCUCCUGCCAAUUGUUACUGUGCAAAUGUUAUUGACUUGUGAUUAGGAGCUUGCAAGGACUUGCCAUAGUUGGAUGAGAUGCAGAAGGGAUUAUGUCUGUGUAAAGGAGAAGUCAUGUUGGCUGUUGGACAGACUUGUUUCAGGUUUAAUAUGUACAUAAGCAGCCGUUCUUGCCAGUACAUUGUGGGUGGGUGGGUUCAGUCCCCGUGCGUUGUAUCGGGUCCAGGAAAUCCUCUUGCAACCGAGACCCCUGAAUAGGAAGAGCCAGAUUAUGUCCUCACGCCAACCCUGAAAGUUAGCUUAAAUCCAGUGCGUAUCAAUCAACAUAUACAAAAUGUAUUCCUAUGCCUUGAGUCCUUGAAGUAAGAACAUAGGAAGGGUCUUGCAGGAUCAGGCCCACCCACCCAGUCCUGCAUCCUGUUCUUAGAAGACUCAGCAUGGCUCUUUAGGCAUAAAAUGUUUUGCUAGCAAAAAUGGGAUGUUUCUGGGUUCUGGAAAUUCCCAGCAUGGAUGCCAGGUGGAGUCUUUAGCUAAUGGGCUUUGAUGGCAUUUCUGGUCUUUAUCCCAGCUCUUUAGCAAAGCAGACUCUAUCUCAGCCUUUGUUUUUAUUCUAUUAGUCCUCCUAGCAGAAUGCAUCUACUCCAAACCACCAGAAGCACCCAGUUCUACGGUUGAUCGCCCAGCCUCCCACUCUCAAAACUAUUACACCUUUCCAUUUUGUUCUGCUUAAUUUCCUCGGGACAUUCCAAAAGAAUAUUCCUGAGCGUGGUAAACACCCAGAAGAGAGCUUGGUUGCGACAAACACUUUGCAAGCCAGCUCCUUCCUUGCUCUGCAAUACCUGCAAAAUGUUCUCUCUCUGCUCACAGCAGAUUCUUUGCAAAUUGAUUCGGAUUUGCUUUGUUAAAUCUCGGGUGGUUAGCCAGCAUCAUGAGUCAGCAUACUUGAAAGCCUGUUUUAAUUUAAAACAGAGCAGGUAUAUCUGCUGUUCAGCUAAGCAAAGGGAACCUCAUCCUGAUAAAACUAAAUGAUAUGUACCUUGACCAUCGCGGUCUUUCAUGUGUUGAGCAGACAGGGAAAGGAGCCCAUGGGCAUUUUUGCCCUACAGGUUUGCAUCAGUUCUACUGUCCUGGCUUCCCAUUUUCUGAAAAUGGGAAAAAUGCUCUCUUGCAGCCCGACCUCUUCCAUAAAACUACACUUCCCUUGGGAGAGCAGCUGAAAUCCAGUCCGGCUUCAGGCCUGUUCAUGGAAUUGAGACUGCCUUGGUCUUUGGGGGUGGCCCAUCCUAUUUCACUGCCUGAGGAUCUUAGGAUGAAAAGUGGGUAAAUAAGGCAAAUACUAAUAAUAAAUUUCGGGUGUUCCUAUGGCAGGGGUAGCCAAUGCAUUCCACAGGUCGAGUGCCACCACCGAGAAGGCCCUCUGCCUGGUUCACAGUAACCUCACUUCUUGCAAUGAGGGAACCGCUAGAAGGCCCUCAGCGUUGGAUCUCAGUGUCCGGGCUGAAUGAUGGGGAUGGAGACGCUCCUUCAGGUAUACUGGACCAAGGCCGUUUAGGGCUUUAAAGGUCAGCACCAACACUUUGAAUUGUGCUCGGAAGCAUACAGGGAGCCAAUGCAGGUCUUUCAAGACCGGUGUUAUAUGGUCUCGGCAGCCGCUGCCAGUCACCAGUCUAGCUGCCGCAUUCUGGAUUAAUUGCAGUUUCCGGGUCACCUUCAAAGGUAGCCCCACGUAGAGCGCAUUGCAGUUGUCCAAGCGGGAGAUAACUAGAGCAUGCACCACUCUGGCGAGACAGUCUGCGGAAAGGGAGGGUCUCAUCCUGUGUACCAGAUGGGGCUAGUAAACAGCUGCCCUGGACACAGAAUUGACCUGCACCUCCAUGGACAGCAACAUUAAAGCAUCAGUCAUUAAAAACUGCCUUCAGAUGUCUUCUAAAUGUCAGAUAGUUGUUUAUUCAACUAUCUGAUAAUUCCACGGUCUGUGAGCACUUAGAAAAGGAUGUUGUGAUUACUAAGACCCAGCAUGGGUUUCUCAAAAACAAGUCAAACCAAAUUAAUCUCUUUUUUUCCUUUUUUUCUCUGCAGAGUUACAAGCUUGGUGAAUCAAGGGUAGGACUCGAACCGAUGGCUUCGUGUUACAAGAAUGGAGAUUCAAAACUAAAGAUCUGGAAGAUCUGGAAGAACUUUCUGACAGCAAGAGCUGCUCAACAAGUCUCCCUCGGGAGGUUGUGGACUCUCCUUUCUUGCAGGUUUUUGAGCAGAGUUUGGAUGGACAUCUGUCAUGGAUGCUUUUGUUGAGAUUCCUGCACUGGAGGGGAUUGGACAAAUUGGCCCCUGGGGUCCCUUCCAACUUUUAAAUUCCACGAUUCCCCGAAACGGCUUGUUGCGAGGUUUUGAAACAAUUUGUACGAGACAGCUGGGCGAAGUCAGCCAGAGGUGUUGGGGCUGACGUGUUGUCUCAGUUUCCAGAAGGCAUUUGGUUCUCGAAUCGCUUUGCCAUGGAGUAAUCCCAAGGAGGCUUACGAGAACUCUCCAACAGAGUCCUGGGAAUGGUUCUGGGGCAGAUGAGAGGGAUCUGUCAAUUUUGCUUUCUCUCACUUUUUCAUUAUCCCAUGCUUGAGUUUCCUUUGCCAGAUUUCCACAUCAAGUUUGUGUGUGUUUGUGUGUCUUAAACCAUCAUAAAAAAAAAUCAGUGUUUUAGCGUGGCUUUCUCUCUAUAUAUUGCAGUGUUGGGAAAACUUAUUGAAUAUUGUGGAGUUGGAAAAGGUUCAGAAAAUGAUCGAGGGGAUGAAGCAAAUCCUUUAUGAAGAAAGUUUGCAGUGUUUGGGACUUCUUAGUUUGAAGGAAAGGCAAGCAAAAGGUGACAUGAUAGACAUUUAUAAAAUUCUGCACUUCCACUUACAUGUUUUGCCAAACACUGCCUUGGGACGGUUUUGACCCUUAAAGGCAGUCUAUGCAUAUUUUAAUUACCGUAUUUUUCUGUCUGUAAGAUGCCCACAUGUAUAAGACGCCUCCUAUUUUGGGGGACUCUGAUUUAAGAAAAGGGGGAAUAUGUAUAAGAUGCCCCCAAAUUUUGGACAUUAUUUUUUAGGGAAAAAACCUAGUCUUUUACACGGAAAAAUACAGUAAUCAAUCAAAUAUUGUUGUAUAUACGCAGCCGUGUUUUUAUAUUGGUGAUCGGUUAUAUAUAAUCCAUGUUAUUACUGGGUUGCAAAAUCGCUUCUGGAUGCUUCGUAGCAAGAGAUUCAUAGCUCAGUUGGUAGAGCAUGAAAGGUUGUGGGUUCGAGUCCCAAGUUGGGCAAAAUAUUCCUGCAUUGCAAGGGACUGCAUUAGAUCCCAGUGGUCCCUCCCAGCCGUACAAUUCUAUGAUUCUCUGGUGUGAAUAAUGAGAAAAGAAGGGAAAACUUGUCCACUUUCUCCACGCUAGACAUAAUUGAUUUUUGUGAAGCUUACUCCUGUUUCCCUCUUACCGUAUUUUUCGCUCUAUAAGAUGCAAUUCCCCCCUCCUAAAAAGUAAGGGGAAAUGUGUGUGCGUCUUAUGGAGCUCCCGCUGCACUCCUGAGGCUUUGUGUUGCUUUCGCUGAAGCCAGGAGAGCAAGAGGGAUCGGUGCACACUGAUCCCUCUUGCUCUCCUGGCUUCACUUCGCUGGAGAGGCACUGCGCAACUUUCCCUCUCUGCGCAGCGCCCCUUCAGCGAAGUGGGAGGAGAAAUGGAAGGGGCUCCGUUUCUCCUGCCGCUUCGCUGAAGAAGCGCUGUGCAGAGAGGGAGAGAAUAUUUUUUCCCCUUGUUCUCCCCCUCUAAAACUAGGUGCGUCUUAUGGUCGGGUGCAUCUUAUAGAGCAAAAAUACAGUAGUUCUCCCCCCCCCCACCGCCCAAAAUUAAAAACUUCGCAAUGCUUUUGUUCAGCCUUUGGCAACCGGGUGCCCUCCAGAUGUUUGGACUAUAACUCCCGCCAGCCCCAGCUGGAAGGCGCCCAGUUGAUGAAGCGCACCCUUCUUGGGAAAGUGCUCCAUGUUCCCGCUAAACACAUGUUUUCCAAGCUCGAAAAUACCCUUUUUGAGAUGAAGUAACCAACACCAUGCACGAUCUUCCAAAUCUAGCCGUCACCAUAGAUUUAUGUAGGAUCAUUACGAUGCAAGUUGUUUUCAAUUUCCUUCCCUUUCCUCAUAAUUCCUAAUAAUUCCUAGGACAGAAUUGAUCUGCUCUCCCGCUGCAAAUAGAUGAAAGUUUUCCAUUUGAGUCAUUUUUGUCUUGCCAACCCAAUCAAGGCGCAUGCAUGUUGAUGUGCUUUAAUCUCUUUUACCGUAAAUCUCAGUUGUUUUCAUAUAUUUUUACCUGCUUUUUCUUGAUGGUCUUAAUACUUCUGGCAAGCUGCUUAGAGAUUGUUCUGCGCAAAUUUUACAAAAUAAAUAAAAACAAACUUCAUUCACCAUGACCCCAAGAUCUCUUUGCUGGAGAGUCGCUGCCAGUUGAGACCCCAUUAAAAAUAAUAAUUAUAAGUUGUGUGUCUUUGUUUUUCAAUUUAAACCUUUUACAUCAGUUUGUACGCAUUGUGGUAUUUUAUGUAUUGUUAAGAGUGAAUUUCUGUUUAAUUAUUAUUUGCUGAUGUUUUGAGAGUUAAUUUAAUUGUGUACUGUUAUAUUCUAAUAGAAUAUUGAAUAUUACUUUAUUUGAUAUGAGUUGUUCCAUUUUAAAGUUAUGCUUUAUUACGACUUUCUGUAUAGGAUCAGAUUAUUAUAAGGUGUGUGUUCUUUGUUUGUUGCUGCAAACUGCCUUGUGUAUAGUAAUAUAGAAAGGCGGUAUACAAAUCAAAAGUGGAUUGAAACUGAGUGAAAUAUCAAGUUACCUGAUACUGCCCACUCCGUUACAAAUUUGUUUGGCCUCUCCUGAAGCUGAGAGUUACCCUCUUAAGCCAUGUUUGCGCAAUAAAUUUUAAGCUCUUAUACCCGAC